rnacentral:rRNA from 1 species
AUUGAACGCUGGCGGCAGGCCUAACACAUGCAAGUCGAACGAGUGGCGUACGGGUGAGAAAUGCCUCGGAAACUGCCUGAUGGAGGGGGACAACUACUGGAAACUGUUGCUAAUUCCGCAUUCCAUCAGCUGUGUCCAGUUGGGAUUAGCUUGUUGGUGGGGUAAAGGCUGACCAAGACGACGAUCCCUAGCUGGUCGGAGAGGAUGACCAGCCACACUGGAACUUAGACACGGUCCAGACUCCUACGGGAGGCAGCAGUGGGGAAUAUUGGACAAUGGGCGCAAGCCUGAUUGAGCCAUGCCGCGUGUGUGAAGGAGGUCUUCGGGUUGUAAAGUACGUUUAGCGGGGAGGCGUUACCCACAGAAGAAGCACCGGCUAACUCCGUGCCAGCAGCCGCGGUAAUAC